AAAAACUCCGGUGGUAUGAGAUGGACCCGCGUCUGAUUAGCUGGUUGGCGGGGUAACGGCCCACCAAGGCGACGAUCAGUAGCCGACCUGGGAGGGUGACCGGCCACAUUGGGACUGAGACACGGCCCAAACUCCUACGGGAGGCAGCAGUGGGGAAUAUUGCACAAUGGGGGAAACCCUGAUGCAGCAACGCCGCGUGAGUGAAGAAGUAUUUCGGUAUGUAAAGCUCUAUCAGCAGGGAAGAAAAUGACGGUACCUGAGUAAGAAGCCCCGGCUAACUACGUGCCAGCAGCCGCGGUAAUACGUAGGGGGCAAGCGUUAUCCGGAUUUACUGGGUGUAAAGGGAGCGUAGACGGCGAUGCAAGUCUGAAGUGAAAGCCCGGGGCUCAACCCCGGGACUGCUUUGGAAACUGUAUGGCUGGAGUGCUGGAGAGGCAAGCGGAAUUCCUAGUGUAGCGGUGAAAUGCGUAGAUAUUAGGAAGAACACCAGUGGCGAAGGCGGCUUGCUGGACAGUAACUGACGUUGAGGCUCGAAAGCGUGGGGAGCAAACAGGAUUAGAUACCCUGGUAGUCCACGCUGUAAACGAUGAAUGCUAGG
rnacentral:rRNA from 1 species